UACUACCACAUCACCCUGAACACAUGAGAUAUCUGAUUUUUGGAAGUUAAGCAGGAGUGGGUUUGGUUAGUGCUUGGAUAGGAGACCACUAGAGAAUCCACUGCAUUUCCAAGUAU
rnacentral:rRNA from 1 species